rnacentral:lncRNA from 1 species
GAUUCUCCAAGUCUUUCAGUGUCUUCAUUUAUUAGCAGGUAACCGUUCAGAUCGGAUCUCCCCAAGGUAAGAUGCGGUCGAUUCAUGGAGACUCGAUCAUACGAUUCUUUUGAGUUUGCCUUUUGCCGAGAGCUUCAAAUUGUUGUCUCAAAUUGCUCGUGUUAUAUUGCUCGCCGAUUUAUAGGAAUUCCUAUUUGUAGAACACCUCACCCUUCAUGAUCACCACCCGUUCGAUGUUUUGCCUCAGAGAUGCUAAUGACGAAUUUGUCUUCAUCAUCGAUCAAUCUGAGAUUGCAUAGCGUGAUCUGGAUGUUCUUGUUCGACAUGCUGAUCAUAUAUUGUGAAUUUUCAUGCUUCAUCCUUUGAUGGCACAGAGUUCUCUUUCCCUUGGUGCUUCAGUUUACUUUGUCUCCUUCGGUUGUGUGACUGAAUUGUUGUCUGGUAUAACAGUAAGUCACUAUACAUUGGUGGUUAAUAAAUCACAGCAAAGCUAUAUCAAGUUCAAUGUCGUUUUGAUGCUCAUAAAAGACCAUUCCACCAAAGCUCGAGAAAGAGAGUCCUCAACCUAAUUUAAAUUCCAAUUCAAAAUCUAUAGUUUCUACUUUCCCUUUUGAUAUUAAGAAGAGCAGUGCACUAGACCAAAAUUUGGUGAUAGCAACUUGGAAUUUUCUUUGCGGGAUUUCGGUGCAUAGACUUAAUUCUUACUGGCUCGUAAAUCCGAAAAUUCUCAAUAUGAAUAUUAGUAUCUUUUGGCUUGAUCAACACGAAAAUAUGAGAGAGCAAGCUUGCUUCAUGUCAUGGGGUGUGUUUGAUUGAUACCUUCCAUGACUAUGAUAAUGACGUAUUCUUGGAAAGUCAAUUCAAUAGUUAUUUUAUGAGUGGAGUGAAUAGAUGAUAUAUAAGGAUUAUCCAUCUGUUAGUUUUACAAAUGAGACGGUAUAUUAUGUUUUCUCAAUUUAAACAGGAGAAGUUAGAUAAAAAGGUAUUUUGGUUUUAUAAUGUACCAUUAGUUCUUGAAUUUUUUUAUAGCCGAUUGAGAUCUUAAAACAACCUAAUUUUAUUUUAACUCCUAUACAACUGUGGUAUUCUAUCCUCUCAUCUUCUUCAAAGAGUUUAUUUUCAUGUUGUGAUUUUUGUUUCACGCUCAAUCAAAGGCUAGGGCACAAUUACAAGGAGAUAAAGGAGUGCCACGAAGGAAAUGAUGAUCAAUGAGGCAGAAAGCGAGGGUGAUAGUCUCUUUGGACUGCUCUGUUUUGUCCAAAAUUCCACGAGGUAAGAAUGGAACAAGAUCAUCCAUGAAUUUCGAAUAAUGGCUUGGGUGUAGAGCGAGAGUAUAGAGCUUCCAUAGCCAUUGACAGCUGCGAGAACGAGAUUAUCUCCCACUGCCAGUGCUUGUCCCUUCUCUAUUUCGUCUGAAGAAACCCCACUGCUUGA